AUUGAACGCUGGCGGCAGGCCUAACACAUGCAAGUCGCGCGAGCGGCGGACGGGUGAGUAAUGUAUGGGGACUGCCCGAUAGAGGGGGAUAACUACUGGAAACGGUGGCUAAUACCGCAUACUAUCGGAUACCCCAUAUGGGAUUAGCUAGUAGGUGGGGUAAAGGCUCACCUAGGCGACGAUCUCUAGCUGGUCUGAGAGGAUGAUCAGACACAAAGAGACUGAGACACGGCCCAGAUAUGAAGGGAGGCAGCAGUGGGGAAUAUUGCACAAUGGUGGCAAGCCUGAUACAGCCAGGCCGAAUGUAUGAAGAAGGACGUAGGGUUGUAAAGUACAUUCAGCGGGGAGGCGUUACCCGCAGAAGAAGCACCGGCUAGCUCCGUGCCAGCAGCCGCGGUAAUUC
rnacentral:rRNA from 1 species